rnacentral:rRNA from 1 species
CCCUUAGAUGUUCUGGGCCGCACGCGCGCUACACUGACGAAGUCAGCGAGCAUGUCCUACGCCGACAGGUGCGGGGAAUCUUGUCAAACUUCGUCGUGAUGGGGAUUGAUUAUUGAAAUUCUUGAUCAUCAACGAGGAAUUCCUAGUAAGCGCAAGUCAGCAGCUUGCGUUGAUUACGUCCCUGCCCUUUGUACACACCGCCCGUCGCACCUACCGAUUGAACGUUCCGGUGAGACCUUGGGAUUUGGUCUUUGGUACUUUAUUGUGCCGUUGACCGAAAAACUUGAGCAAACCUUAACGUUUAGAGGAAGGUGAAGUCGUAACA